UGCUUCCUACGGGGGGCAGCAGUGGGGUAUAUUGCACAAUGGGGGAAACCCUGAUGCAGCGACGCCGCGUGUGGGAAGACGGUCCUCUGGAUUGUAAACCACUGUCCCCAGGGACGAAGAUGACGGUACCUGGGGAGGAAGCUCCGGCUAACUACGUGCCAGCAGCCGCGGUAAUACGUAGGGAGCGAGCGUUGUCCGGAAUUACUGGGUGUAAAGGGAGCGUAGGCGGGACUGCAAGUUGGGUGUCAAAUCUACCUGCUCAACCGGUAGCCGCCCUCAAAACUGCCGUUAUUGCG
rnacentral:rRNA from 1 species